rnacentral:rRNA from 1 species
ACGGGAGGCAGCAGUAGGGAAUAUUGCACAAUGGGGGAAACCCUGAUGCAGCAACGCCACGUGUGGGAAGAAGCAUUUCGGUGUGUAAACCACUGUCGUGAGGGAAUAGAGCUGGAGUUGUCCAGUUGAAUGUACCUCGAAAGGAAGCACCGGCAAACUUCGUGCCAGCAGCCGCGGUAAUACGAGGGGUGCAAGCGUUGUUCGGAAUCACUGGGCGUAAAGGGAGCGCAGGCGGAGAUGCAAGCGGUCUGUACAAUCCCGGGGCCUAACCCCGGACCUGCAGACCGGACUGUUUCUCUUGGAUAGCUCAGGGGCUGGCGGAAUUCCUGGUGUAGCGGUGGAAUGCGUAGAGAUCAGGAAGAACACCGAUGGCGAAGGCAGCCAGCUGGGGGCUUAUCGACGCUCAUGCUCGAAAGUGCGGGUAGCAAACAGGAUUAGAUACCCUUGGUA